GUAGGGUGGGCAAGCGUUGUCCGGAAUUAUUGGGCGUAAAGCGCGCGCAGGCGGUCCUUUAAGUCUGAUGUGAAAGCCCACGGCUCAACCGUGGAGGGUCAUUGGAAACUGGGGGACUUGAGUACAGAAGAGGAAAGCGGAAUUCCAAGCGUAGCGGUGAAAUGCGUAGAGAUUUGGAGGAACACCAGUGGCGAAGGCGGCUUUCUGGUCUGUAACUGACGCUGAGGCGCGAAAGCGUGGGGAGCAAACAGGAUUAGAUACCCUGGUAGUCCACGCCGUAAACGAUGAGUGCUAAGUGUUAGGGGGUUUCCGCCCCUUAGUGCUGCAGCUAACGCAUUAAGCACUCCGCCUGGGGAGUACGGCCGCAAAGGCUG
rnacentral:rRNA from 1 species